UGGGGAAUAUUGCACAAUGGGCGAAAGCCUGAUGCAGCGACGCCGCGUGAGGGAUGACGGCCUUCGGGUUGUAAACCUCUUUCAGCAGGGACGAAGCGCAAGUGACGGUACCUGCAGAAGAAGCACCGGCUAACUACGUGCCAGCAGCCGCGGUAAUACGUAGGGUGCAAGCGUUGUCCGGAAUUACUGGGCGUAAAGAGUUCGUAGGCGGUUUGUCGCGUCGUUUGUGAAAACCAGCAGCUCAACUGCUGGCUUGCAGGCGAUACGGGCAGACUUGAGUACUGCAGGGGAGACUGGAAUUCCUGGUGUAGCGGUGAAAUGCGCAGAUAUCAGGAGGAACACCGGUGGCGAAGUCGGGUCUCUGGGCAGUAACUGACGCUGAGGAACGAAAGCGUGGGUAGCGAACAGG
rnacentral:rRNA from 1 species